UAGACUGCAUGCUUGUUUAUGCAGAUAAAAUUGUCUGCAAACGAAUGUAUUAAUUUAAUUUGCCUUUAGUACCUGUAAUUUACUGCAGACUACUGUUACUGUAGCCUGGAAAUGCCAGUUAUACAGGUGCAGUCACGUGCCUCUGUUGUGGGGGCAAUUUGUAAAGUGUGCCCCCGAGUCAUUGGACGAGGAUGAAGCUGUUCCCUUUAAGCUGUGUGCGCAUUUGCAGCCCAACGCGAACUGUUUUAUUAAACCAGGAGCCAUUUUUGUACUAUUGGUGUUUAUAUGGGCGGCAUAGUGGGCUUGGCCUUCGGAUCCCACCUGUGUGUGCGUGUGACUCGUGACCCAGCCGUCCACCUCCAGGGCAUCUGCGUGUCUGUGACAAUGAGAAUCCAGUGAGAAGAGGCCUAGGGCAGAAAUACAGACAACCAAAGUUCACUUUGUGGAGCUGCAGUGGGAGAGAUUCAGAGGCGACCUCUCUUAUCGGGUUUGCACAGCUGGGAGCUACAGGAGCACAUGCGGCACACAUACGGCACGUGGGUGCGAGGCCCACAGGCAGAGCGGGCCGGAGCUGGGUCCCGUCCCGGCGUCAUCCGGCAGGGUGUAUGAACACACAGGAGGAGAAGCAGGGAGUCAGAGCCUGGGAGUGCAGGGACUCCGUACUAGGAGGGCGUGGUAGAGAUGCGCCUCCCUCUGUACUGGAGCGCUCUUCUUGGCUCCGGGUCGGCUUUGUGGGGUGGGGCCUGUGUGAGUCACUGGGCCUUUGAUAAGGGCCUAAACCCCGCAGGAGGGGAAGGGUGUGGUACUGCAGGCUGUGCCUCAGCUGGCUGCCCUGGCACUCGUUGAGCAAUAGAAGGAGCCUGUCCCCAGCUCAGCAUGGGCUACUCUGACCCAAAGAAGCACCAUCAGUGUAUUUAGCAGUGACCAGGGAGUUUUCUCUGGUUCCGCAAAGCCCCCGUUCCUGAGCCAUCCUGCGGACACAAAGACAUAUUAAUUCUUUAGAAUGGCAGAGUUACAGA